UUGAUUCCCAACACCCCAUGUGACAGC
rnacentral:piRNA from 1 species